rnacentral:rRNA from 1 species
UGAAGUUUCCUUCGGGAAACGGAUUAGCGGCGGACGGGUGAGUAACACGUGGGUAACCUGCCUCAUAGAGUGGAAUAGCCUUUCGAAAGGGAGAUUAAUACCGCAUAAUGUUGAAAGAUGGCAUCAUCAUUCAACCAAAGGAGCAAUCCGCUAUGAGAUGGACCCGCGGCGCAUUGGCUAGUUGGUGGGGUAACGGCCUACCAAGGCGACGAUGCGUAGCCGACCUGAGAGGGUGAUCGGCCACAUUGGGACUGAGACACGGCCCAGACUCC